rnacentral:lncRNA from 1 species
GAAUAUUGUAUUUCACUUAUGUAAAUUGCGUUUAAAUUCAUUGUUAUAUUUGUAAACCUACAAUACUGUUUUAUUAGAAUCAGUAUAGGGUUGAACAUUAACUGUAAAUGUGUACAAAAUAGUGUAGGAAGUGUUAAUGUAGUUAACUGUUUCGAACAUUUACCAAUCACUAUUAUAAUAAAAUUUUCGCUAUGUUUGUGCCUCUUAGAAAAUUUGUUUAAUUCUUUAUUAAAUUGAACCAUGCGAAUCAAAAUAGAGAUGAAUUGAUAUUAGCAUAUUUGACAGUUUAUAGACAUAUAAUUUAGCACAGCCGAACGGGCUAAUAAUGCAUUUUUCUGCAGCAUUUUACUGUGCAAUUCGUGUAUUAAUUGGAUACAAUAAAUUAGUAACAAGAAAAAAUAUACAAAGGUAACCCAAGUUAUUUUUCUAUCGAUUUUGUCUCAGCUUUAAAAUGUUGAGAAAAAAAAAAACAAUGCGAUCAAAUUUCAAGGCUUGUCGCUCUCAAUAUUUUGUUUCAUUAAGACCUAAAGCCUAAAACUCCGUCUCAAAAUUAAUAAAAGCCAUGUCCGUAAAAAUGUCUGUACAUUUAUUUGCAGAAAGACAAAUACACUAACACCUAAUUUAUUGAAUUAAUACAGUCAUAUAUGCCAUUGCACUUAGGUUGGGUCAGAACGGUUCUGCAUUUUCAUUUUAAAUCAGUUGUUUUUUACUUGUAGCUUUAUUAUUGUGUUUUUGUAAAUGUAAUAAUAAGAACAAAUAAUCAACCAUCAGCUUUGAUAAGCUUCAUCUAUUCCAUUAGAAUCAUAUUCAAAACAGUGUGGCUGUGGCCAUUGAUUGACGACCUAAAUUAUACCAUUGACUGGGACAGAUUAUGUGAACGUUUGUCUAUAACGAUCACUGAUCACUACUUACUUAUUAUAGAGUUUAAACUGUGGAGUCAUCAAAGGUUCUUAAACGCCUUUAAUAAUAAAAUAAUUCGAAAAUUAAUCAGGGAUAACCUUUAUGUUUUGAUUUAUAUUAUUG